CGCUGGCGCUCUCCAGUCGCGGCUGUGACGCGACGGAGGCGGCGGGAGUGGCAGCAGGGGGCUCUCCGCGGGUGAGGCCUGGAGAACGGGCGGGCCUGCGGAAAGCCCCGUGCGGGCCAGACCCCGGGACCGCUCGGCUGCGCUCCCAGACUCUUCGCUGCCUGCGAGCCUCAGAGUGGCACCCUCUCCUGGCCUCGAAGAACGCGUGCGAAGCCGGGUUCGUCCGCUGUGUACUGCCCGGGCGCACGUUCCGCUCUUCGCGUUUGCCGCGGUUCCGUGACUCCCUGGAGGCUGAGUGCUGCUGAGUGAGAAGACACGCCGAGCUGGCUGCCGGAGGGCUGCCGGGCGCCGGGCAGCCUGCUUACUCCGAGAAACCGCAAGACCUCCUUCAAAAAGACCCGUGCUGAGCUUCGUGGUUGGAGAGGCCGCCUGUCGUUCGGCCCCUCCCGACCUCUCUCACGCCGUCUUCCGGAGCGUGGGUGAAGCGGGUGCGGUGUUUUCCCACGUGCCAGGGGCCCGGAGCUGAGGAGGGGCGGGCAUGGCCAGCAUCACGCAGCUGUUCGACGACCUGUGUGAGGCCCUCCUGCCGGCUGCCAAGACCCACCUGGGCCAGCGCAGUGUGAACCGGAGGAGGGCAAAGCGGAGCCUCAAGAAGGUGGCCUACAACGCGCUCUUCACAAGCCUUUUUCAAGAGGAGACUCAGCUGCAGCCCGACACGUCAAGACUACCGGCGAGAAACAAGAUCCUCAUGUUGUCCUUUGACUUGAGAGUGGGUGGCCUGGGCCCCAGGGCUGACCGUUUGGAGGAGCUUGUGGAGGAGCUUGAAGCAGCCCCUUGCUGUCCGCUUGUGGAGGUGGGGUCUGUUUUGGACCUCCUGGUUCAGCUGGCAGGGAGCGGCCCCCCUCAAGUGCUGCCGAGAAAACGAGAUUACUUCCUUAACAACAAGCACGUGGGGAGAAACGUUCCAUAUGGCGGCUAUGAUUGCUACGACCUGAGUGUGUUGGAGAGGGACGUUCAGUCUCUGAUCUCCAGAGAGGAGUGUUUGUGUCACAGCAUGAUCCAGGACACACUUCAGGUUAUGGAGGCUACUCCAGGCACCGGCCUGCCCACCGUCGGGCUCUUCUCAUUUGGUGACCCUUGUGGUGACAAGUUCGAGAGAGACACCCGGGUCUCACUCUUCGGUGCGCUUGUGCACAGCCGAGCCUACGACAUGGAUGUCCGGCUGGACCUGCCCCCCGUGCCGGACAGUGCAGACCUCUCUGGGCUGGCCAUUAAGGUCCCACAGAGUGUGGAUCAGUGGGAAGACGAAGGAUUCCAGUCAGCAUCCAACCUGACUCCUGAUUCCCAGUCUGAGCCCAGCAUGACCCCAGACAUGGACCUGUGGGAAGCUGCACUCACCUACGAGGCCAGCAAGCGGAGGUGCUGGGAGCGAGUUGGAUGCCCGCCUGGUCACAGAGAGGAGCCUUACCUGACAGAGGCGGGAAGGGAGGCUUUCGACAAGUUCUGCAGGCUUCGCCAUGGGGAGCUACAGCUGCUUGCCGGGGGCGUUCUGCAGGCCCCACAGCCCGUGCUGGUGAAGGAGUGCGAGCUGGUGAAGGAUGUGCUGAACGUCUUGAUUGGGGUUGUGUCUGUCACGUUUUCCCUCUGCCAGCAGGCCCAGGCCUUUGUGGUGAAGCAGGGCGUCCAUGUAUCAGGAGCGUCUCCCGAGAGCAUCAGCAACCUUCUCUCGGAGGUGGCCGAGUAUGGGACCUGCUACAUGCGCCUGACCCACUUCUCCCUGCAGCCCGUCCUGGACUCCUCGUACAGCAAGGGCCUUGUGUUCCAGCCCUCUUGCCUACAGGCCUUCACCAGUGGCCUGAGGAGAUACCUGCAGUAUUACCGGGCCUGCGUCCUCGCCACUCCGCCCACCCUGAGCCUCCUCACCAUUGGUUUUCUCUUCAAGAAGCUGGGCCGGCAGCUCAGGUAUCUGGCCGAGCUCUGUGGUGUUGGUGCUGCACUCCCAGGCACCUGCGGAGGAGGGCCCAGGGCCGAGUUUCCCACCGGCGUGAAGCUGCUGUCCUACCUCUACCAGGAGGCGCUGCACAACUGCAGCAAUGAACACUACCCCGUGCUGCUGUCCCUGCUGAAGACCAGCUGCGAGCCCUACACGCGCUUCAUCCACGACUGGGUGUACAGCGGGGUGUUCAGAGACACUUAUGGCGAGUUCAUGAUUCAGGUGAACCAGGAGUACCUCAGCUUCCGAGAUAAGUCAUACUGGACCCAUGGCUACGUGCUCAUCUCCAAAGAGGUGGAGGACUGUGUUCCCGUGUUUCUGAAGCACAUUGCCCAUGACGUGUACGUCUGCGGGAAGACCAUCAACCUGCUGAAGCUCUGCUGUCCCCGGCAUUACCUCUGUUGGUCCGACGUCCCAGUCCCCCGGAUCUCAGUGAUUUUCUCCCUGGAGGAGCUGAAGGAGAUUGAGAAGGACUGUGCUGUCUAUGUCGGGCGCAUGGAGAGAGUGGCCCGCCACAGCUCCGUCAGCAAGGAGGAGAAGGAAUUACGUAUGGAAAUUGCAAAGCAGGAAUUAAUUGCUCAUGCCCGGGAAGCAGCCUCCAGGGUCCUGAGUGCACUGAGUGACCGGCAGAUGUCAGAGCGGAUGGCCUUGGAUGCCCAGAAGCGCGAGCAGUUUCAGAGGCUGAAGGAACAGUUUGUGAAGGACCAGGAGCCCAGGCUGUGUGUUUUACAGCGACGCCAGGCGGCCAGGCAGGAGGAGCUGGAUGACGACUUCAGCUACGCCCGUGAGCUCCGAGACAGGGAGAGGAGGCUGAAGUCCCUGGAGGAGGAGCUGGAGAGGAAGGCAAGGCAGGCGCUGGUCGACCACUACAGCAGGCUCUCUGCAGAGGCAGCUCGUCGGGAGCAGAAGGCGCUGUGGAGAAUCCAGAGGCACCGACUGGAGAGUGCACGGCUUCGCUUUCUCUUAGAAGAUGAGAAACGCAUUCGGGAGAUGCUGAAAGCGAUGACUGAGGCUCACCAGCCCCAGGAGCCGGCAGACUUUCUCUUGAGCCCACACUCCCAGGUCACAUCUGGCCCUGAGCACCCAGAUGGAGGCCAAGGCUGUGAUUCUAGGACUGCAGAGCAACAUUCGGCUUCCUGGGAUUGCCCGAACAGGCCAGACCUGCGGACCCCACAGCCCCUUAAGCCUCUAGCAGUGGGAGCUGGUGGUCCAGGGCUGCAGCAGGCAGAGGAGCCUGGGUCCUUCUCUGACGGCCUCAGCCUUGGAGACUUCCUACCUGUGGGCCCAGGGGCUGAGCAGUCUUUGCAGACUGGCACGGUCCCUCUCCUGGAGGCAGCGCUGCAGACCAUCAGCUCAGACCUGCCCGCUUCAGCUCCUGGGGAGGCACCUUCAUCGGCCAGCACUCAGCCCUCCAAGCCACAGGAGUACGACUUUAGUACUGUCCUGAGGCCGGCUGUGGCCGCCUCACCUUCACCAGGGCCCCUCCAGGCUGCAGAGUGCAGCUUUCUGCCUCCCUCACACCCACCCAGGUGUGCCGCCCUGGAGGAGGGGAGCAGUCAGCACACAGAGCAGCUUUUUGGGCAUGUGUCAGGGGGUGGUGUUCCCACAGGGGGCUACAAUUCUGGAAUAGCUCCCACUCAGCCACGGUGGAACACCCAUGGGCACAUGUCCGAUGCCAGCAUCAGGGUCAGGGAGGAAACGUCAGAUGCGGCUCCCACCCGGCCACGGUGGAACAUCCAUGGGCACGUGUCUGAUGCCAGUAUCAGGGUUGGGGAAAACGUGUCUGACGUGGCUCCCACCCGGCCACGGUGGAACAUCCAUGGGCACGUGUCUGAUGCCAGCAUCAGGGUUGGGGAGAACGUGUCAGACGUGGCUCCCACCCGGCCACGUUUGAACAUCCAUGGGCAUGUGUCUGAUGCCAGCAUCAGGGUUGGGGAGAACGUGUCAGACGUGGCUCCUACCCGGCCACGGUGGAACACCCAUGGGCACGUGUCAGACGCCAGCAUCAGCUUGGGGGUAUGUGUGUCGGACGUACCUCCCACUCGGCCACGGUGGAACACCCAUGGACCCAUCCCUCCGCCCCACGUGAUGUUGGGGGCCCUCUCACCAGAAACUGAGUCCAACACACCCAGGCCCCAACAGAGCCUCCUUGGCCACACGUCCCAGUCAGCGCUCAGCCUGGGAGCACGGAACGCUGCUCUGGAUUGUGGGCCACAGCUGCCUGUAGAAGUGGGGCCAUCUCUCUCCUCCCCCAGCUUAGGCUGUGGGGAGGAGCGCGUCAGCAUGGGAGAGAAUGUGUCAGACAUGGCUCCCACUCUGCCACAGUGGAACAUCGAGGGACACGUGUCCGACAACACCAUCAGCGUGGGAGAGAACGUGUCAGAUGUGGCUCCCACCCAGCCAUGCUGGCCCAACACACCAGGAGACAGUGUCUCUGAAGAACCAGGCCCUGGGAGGAAUGGGGACACUGAGGAGCUCUCUCCAAAUAGGCGUCUGAACUCACAGGAAGACGCAGCUGCCCAGAGCAGCCGAGGACCCGGUGAGGAGGAGGCGGAGGCCUGGGACGGGGAGCAGGCCUACCUGGCAGGCCUGGCAGGGCAGUACCACCUGGAGCAGUACCCGGACAGUUACGAGUCCAUGUCUGAGCCACCCAUCGCUCACCUUCUGCGCCCCAUGCUUCCCCGGGCCUUUGCCUUCCCCGUCGACCCCCAGGCCCAGUCCGCCGCAGACGAGACCGCUGUGCAGCUGAGUGAGUUGCUGACGCUGCCCGUGCUCAUGAAGCGCUCCAUCACAGCGCCACUGGCCGCCCACAUCUCCUUGGUGAACAAGGCUGCCGUUGACUACUUCUUCGUGGAGCUGCACCUGGAGGCACACUAUGAGGCGCUGCGGCACUUCCUGCUGAUGGAGGACGGCGAGUUCGCCCAGUCCCUCAGCGACCUGCUCUUUGAGAAGCUUGGGGCCGGGCAGACACCUGGGGAGCUGCUCAACCCGCUGGUGCUGAACUCCGUGCUGAGCAAGGCCCUGCAGUGCAGCCUGCAUGGGGAUACCCCACACGCCUCCAACCUCUCCCUCGCCCUCAAGUACCUUCCCGAGGUGUUUGCCCCCAAUGCCCCAGAUGUGCUGAGCUGCCUGGAGCUCAGGUGGACUGGCCCCUCAACAUCGUCAUCACCGAGGGCUGCCUGAGCAAGUACAGUGGCGUCUUUUCCUUCCUGCUGCAGCUGAAGCUCAUGAUGUGGGCACUCAAGGACAUCUGCUUCCACCUCAAGCGCACAGCCCUGCUGAGCCACAUGGCCAGCUCCGUGCAGUUCCGCCAGCUGCAGCUGUUCAAGCACGAGAUGCAGCACUUUGUGAGGGUCAUCCAGGGCUACAUCGCCAACCAGAUCCUGCACGUCACCUGGUGCGAGUUCAGGGCCAGGCUGGCCACCGUGGGCGACCUGGAGGAGAUCCAACGUGCGCACGCGGAGUACCUGCACAAGGCCGUCUUUAGGUGAGGCCUGGGUACUGCUGCAUCCCUUGCCCUGUGGUUGCAGCUGAGCCCACCCAGCAGCACUGCUUCCCCCCAGGGGCCUGCUCACGGAGAAGGCGGCGCCCGUCAUGAACAUCAUCCACAGUAUCUUCAGCCUCGUGCUCAAGUUCCGCAGCCAGCUCAUCUCCCAGGCCUGGGUCCCUGCUGGGGGCCCGCGGGGUGCAGAACACCCCAACUUUGCACUCAUGCAGCAGUCCUACAACACCUUCAAGUACUACUCCCACUUUCUCUUCAAAGUGGUGACCAAGCUGGUGAACCGCGGCUACCAGCCUCACCUGGAGGACUUCCUGCUGCGCAUCAACUUCAACUACUACUACCAGGAUGCCUGAGGCUGCUCUGCGGGGG